UGCUAGCCAAGUCUUUUGAUAUAUUAAGGUUGGCCAUCUUUUCUAAAUCUACAAUCAUGUCAACCCUCCUACAGAAAUAAAGA
rnacentral:sRNA from 1 species